rnacentral:rRNA from 1 species
CAUAUCACUAUGAAUAUACAUUUCGCCUAUUACGUAGUAGUCUUCUACGAACUCAAAAACUUGUUUUGAGAAACGAAUUCCUGCUUGAGAUGCUUUCAGCAGUUCUACGUUCCGAACGUAGCUACUCAGCGAUGCUGCUGGCGCAACAACUGAUACACUAGAGGUUCGUCAUUCCCGGUCCUCUCGUACAAGGGAAUGGUUCUCUCAAUUUUUCACACCCGAAAAAGAUAGGAUCCGUACUGUCUCCACUUGAUUCCAUCAUCAACAUUUCAAACAAAAUCUGACCUUAGGAACCCUUGAUCACUCAAGGAAUUUCCCUUAUUACUAAGGGCGUAGACUAUACCAUCAUCUCGUUGGUAGAACGAGAGUCGCCGUGUUAUAACUUGUCUGUUACAAAAUCAAGCUAUCCUGCCAUUUCUAGCAAAGUCGUUACGGGGUUAUAAGAGAUGUGAAACAUCUGGUAAUUUUUUUUUCAGCCAUGCUUGGAAUCUUUUUUAUCAGUGGUGACACUAAAGCGUAAAAGGUCACAUAAUUUGAACCACUUAUUGCAAGACGUUUUUGAACAAGAACUUUUUUACUAGUCCCACUUGUAUAGGAUUGAGUCUGAAUUCUAAAAUUGACAAAGAAUGUUUCUUGAAUUCGAGUAAUCUCAUCUGAAGUAUAACUAUCAACAGUAAAAAUUACUCCAGAACGGACACCAGAACUUCUACCGCCAUCAUCAAGAAACCAAAUAGCUAAAGCAAUAGCAUCUAAAUUUUUUUCAAAAUCUUUUGGUAAUUUUUUUUUUUGUUUCAUCAUAAAAAAGAGAUCUCUACUGACUAAAAAAACUACGAGUGUAAAAUCUAUAACUGUAAGACUCACAUUGAGUUCGUUUAUCAAAGCGUGUAACCAAACUCGGUUGUUUUCCUGUUGUGAGAGAUUUCAAUUCUUGAAAAAGCCAAAAAAUCUCCUCUUUAUGAACAUGAGAUUGUUCAAAUUGAAUUGUUCCUUUGGGAUACAAAGAAGCAUCACCAAGAAGAGAUCCAUAAAGGAGAGAUUUUUGAAAAGGUGUUAAAAGAAUUUGCUGCAUAAUUAGAAUUUCUUGUUUUUUUCUUAAACUUCCCACGGUAUUCCCCUCUGAGUGUACGAAACUCAAAGGGCUCCACCGUUAUGAGGCGAAUUUUUCAUAAAGUUCACACUUUAUGGUCGCAAUAAAGUUUUGUGUGUGUUUACGACGUACUAAACCCAACUCACGUACCGCUUUCAUCGGCGAACAGCCGAACCCUUCGAACCUUCUUCAGCUCGAGGAUGCGAUGAGUCGACCAGUUAUGUUAUCAUUUAGGCUCUUUAUCCUAAAUUUCUACUCUUCACAGAGUAGCUCAGACUAUGUCAUUACCUUACUUUUUUGAAUUGGGAAGUUUAUAAAGCAUACUUGGGAUGAGAUACUGUUUGAUUAGAGCAGCGAGGUUCUCACUAUCUUGACGAGGAAAUUCAAUCACCUAAUAGUGUGUUUUAUGUAAAAUCACACGAUAAUGGAGAGAAAAUUUCUUAUUUAAUUCUGUUGAUAAAACAGAAUUUUCCUGUAAAGAAAAACUUUGAGUAUCAAGAAUCAGCGUAAGGUUAUCUUUUUGCAGACUUCCAUCACACAUAAUCCAAUAAGCUAAUCCUUUUGGAGUUAAAAAGUCACGAACAAGUCCUUCCUUUAUUCUUUUUUUCCAUUUUCCAUUGAUUUUUUCGUGAAUUAAAAGAAAUAAAUGAGUAAAAUCAGGAAAAGAAAACGUUUUAAACCAAUAACUUUUCACAUUUCUAUCUUUUUCAUAUCUGAUUCCAGGCUCUACCAUAAAACAAUACCUUGAAAACAAAUCGAAAAGAUGAAACAGAAAUUCUUUUUGUUUAACCCCUUGCUCAAAUUUUAUCAAUGCUUCACGACUAGCGUACUACAUUGUGGCAUCACCUAAAAUCAUUCCUGCGGCUGUAUCAAAACAGUCUUGCGGUAAUUUUGGGAGAGUUUUUUUAUAAUUUUGCCAAUAGGGAGAAUUCAAAUGAUAUCCAUCUCUUGUGUUUUUUAUAAGUUUACUCAUAAUUCAAAAAAAUAUGGUAGCGGGCGCUCGUGGAGAGGGUAUUGAUAGGAAGUUCUCACUCUCUAGUCGUUGAACGUUCAUUGUUACUUUUUUUUUCCAUUCACAAUGCUUCGCUGCAAAUUGUCUUUUUCUCGGGUAAUCGAAAAAGAGAUUCUUGCAAUUCACCCACUUUAGCCUCGACUAUGGCUUUUGUAAUCGCAUAAUGUUAAUUGAGUUUUUUGUUUUCUAGAUUUUUAUGAAACCAAGAAGUAGGAAUUUUAUACAUCAUAGAAGGAUGAAUAAAGGGAAUCAAGAGUUUCCCAAAAGUGAUUGCAUUUUUUCCACGACCACUUAUGUAAAUUCUAAGUGUUUUACGUUGAAAAAAAGUUGAAGUUUUUACUCCAUAGAGAGUUGUUAACACAGCCGCAAGUCUUUUCACUUCUUGAUGUGUAAAACAAUCGGUACAGAAUCUUACUCCUGAAGAACGCCCUUUCCAUUUUUGACUUCCAUCAUCCAUGUACCAAUAAGCAAGAGCUUGUGGUGUUAACCAUCGAUGAAUCAGUCGAGGAACCUUUUUGGUGUUGGUUUGGUUUCCAAAUUCGUCAAAUUUGGACGUGUAAAAUUCUUUUUUAUAGAACCGAAAUUCUGAAAAAAAUCGUGUAUCACACUCCCAGACACCUGUUUGUUUAUUUUGACGAGGUUUUGCUGUGAUAUAGUUUUGAAAAACAUCACAUAAAUGAUCAAAAUAGAAUUUAUUUUUUUGUCGAAGUGAUAAACGAGCUUUUGUUUGAUUCCUGUUCCAACUUAAUGAUGCAUCACCUAAUAAAAUUCCUAUUAAAAUUUCUUUUUGUAAUUGACUAAAUUGCAUAAAAAUAAAUCUCAACGUUCCUUAAACUUUUGGGUUGAUUCCUCACUUGGUUCUUUCAUUUCCAAAUUAGAAGAAUUAUGGAAUAAAAUCAACUGAAAGAAUUUGAUACAUUUGGAACCAUAUGGAACAAACCAUAUGGAACCAAGUGAACGGCAAAGAAAACACCAAAGCUCUUUAGUGUUUAAGGAAUCCUUCUAAUCGCUUAGAAGAUCAGACUAUAUCAUCUAUCAAAAGGUGUUUCUAAAUGUAUUCAAGUGAAAGACACAUUGAAAAUGUAUCAGUCUUUUGAUAGUGAAGCGUGUAGUCGUUGAGGGGUACUUUCAAGUACUUCCCUGCUGAUUGUCCGCACUAGAUUUCUUUUUCUGUCAGAUAUCUGAAACUCAGAUUUUGACAAGCGUCUCUAGAUACAUCGGAGGUUCCAGCAUAUAGCUUCAUUCUCACCAGAUUUAUUCAAAUCUGGGACCCCAUUACAAGGUGCCAAACGACUCCGUCGAUAAGAGCUCUUGGGAGUCAUCAGCCUGUUCAAUUGUGUUACCAUAAAGGCUCUUUAUCCUUUAUUUCUCUAUGUUUCCAUAGAGUUCAGACUAUGUCAUCAACUCUGUGCUUUUUGGGACUUUAUGGCGCAUAGAUGGAAUCACAUACUCUCCGAUUAAAUCCAACAUCUUCGCAUGAUCAUGACCUGAGAUCACAAUGAUCCAUUUUUUUUGUUUUGUUUAGGCCAACACUUUAAUCGAAAUUUUUCCUCUAAACCUUGACACAACAGUUCUACUUGAUUUUGAGAAAAACUAUGAGUGUUUAAGACAAAUCCUUUUCGUUCAUAGUCCUUAUUAUAACUUAAUCUUCCUCCAUCGUCCAUAAACCAAUACGCAAGACCUUUUUGAAAAUUGGUCCAAUUUUCAAGAGGUGUGAGAUAUUUCUCAAUAAGGCCGUGUUGAAUAUGUUUUUGGCUUCGAUUUCCGUCACGAUCAAGAAUAAAAAGUGUUGCUAAUGAGCAAAAUUCACUAUGAGAAAUCGUUUGAAAUGACCACAUAGCUUGUGUUGGGUCAUAAAAAGGUCGUGAAGAAAGAACCCACUCAGAAUAGAGACUAUGUAAAUGCCAUAAAUAGUCACGGUGACGAGCAUCCGAUUGUUGAAAUUUCAAUCGAUAUGUUUUUCCACCAUUUUGAGUUUGAAUUGAGGCAUCACCUAGAAGCGUCCCUAUACUUAUAUCAAAAAGAUGUUGUGAUAAAGAGAGGUUUUUUUUAUAUUCUUCAAGAAGGGUUCUCUGAAAUUGUGUUGGUUUUUAUGUCAUAAAGUCUGUAAAGAGAGUUGCUGGGCGCUCGUGGAGAGAUUAUUGAUAGGAAAUUCUCACUCUCUAGUCGUUGAACGUUCAUUUCUACAGUAGUAUCCUUUUGAAAUGCUUCGCUGCAAGUUGGCAUGGUGAUGAUCAUCACUGAAGCGUUCUUGCAAUUCACCCAGUCUUUUUUAUCUUGAGAGGUUUUCUCAAGAAACGCACGUUCUUCUCACAAAAAACGAGGACUAACAGAAUUAAUCCCUAGCGUACCUUUGAUCCGUUGAUCGAGAGCCUUUCCACCAAGAACUCCCGGGUCACUAUGGCCGACUUUCGUCUCUGCUUGACUUGUAAGUCUUACAGUCAGGCAAGCUUCUACCAUUACGCUCUUCAGCUGAUUUCCGUCCAGCUUGAGCUUACCUUCGCACACUUCCGUUACUCUUUAGGAAGCGACCGCCCCAGUCAAACUACCCAUUUAACAUGGUCCCUUUUUCUGUUCCAAAUUAUUCUAAUUUGUUUCCAUUUUUUAAUAAAAAAUGGAACAAAAUUGGAAGAUUUUUUUUAAGGUUAGAAAAAUGAGAAAAAAAGGGUGGUAUUUCAUUGAUGUUUUUCUUCAAUGAACUGAAAAAAAACUCCCACCUAUUCUACACAUUUAGACUCUUUUUUCAAUGCUAAAUUAUAGUAAAGGUGCAUAGGGUCUUACCGUCUACUUUCGGGAACUCCGCAUCUUCACGGAGAAUUCAAUUUCACUGAGAUCAUGUUGGAGACAGCGGGGAAGUCGUGACACCAUUCAUGCAGGUCGGAACUUCAUGUCUCACAAAUCUUGUUUGUAUGACUGUGUUAACUUUAUGUUUCCAUAAAGAUCAGACUAUACCUUCACCUUAUCUCGACUUGGUAGGUUUUUUCAAAACCAUAAAAUCGGAAGAAAACUGAUAAGGGUCGACGUGUUGCCUUCUAAAAAAGAAAGCCUCUCCUUUCGGAUCAGUCGUUACGGGGUUUGAUAAAAGAUUUUUAUAAUGUUUUCUACUACGAUUAUCAAACUUCCCACGGGAUUACCAUGAUUUGCCUGUUUAUCACAAAUUGUAGGCUUCCCCCGUUAUGAGUCGAUUUACUAGUUUUUCCAAAUUUACUAAAUUUGGAAUGAAAAUUGAUCCAAUUUUCACAAGGCUUUAUAAAAAUUAAUUGAUUUUAUAAAACUUGAAACACAAUUUAUUACUAAACUUUCGGGCAAGUUUCCGUUUACCCGACAAGGAAUUUCGCUCAGUUAAUCUUUUUAUUUUCAUAAAAAGCUGGACUCUAUCUUAGAUUUUUUGUGCUUUAAGAAUUGGUUGAGUUUGUUUUAUUUAGUUCUUAAAAAAAAAAAAAAAGAAAUUAUCAAAUUUAAAAAUUUUGAGAUUUGUUCUCUUUAGUAUUCAUGGUUUGUUGAAUUUCACGAAUUUUUACUAAUCCUUCUGAAGUGAGGUGACGUUUUUCUUCUAUCAUAUUUAUUACAGUACGAAAUUUUUCAAAAUCAACACGUUUCUUAGUAAGUAACUUGUGUUUUUCAAAAAAAGGAACUAUAAUUUUUUGAAGAUGUUGAAAUCCACGAACCCGAUAACAAUAUCGAUCACCAUGAUUCACUCGUACAACACCACAUCCAAAAUAUUUUUUAAGUGCAUGAAGUACUUGAAUAUCUCGUUUAUGUUGUGUGACUGUAAAUUCAGGAAGAACUUGGUAUCCACAUUUCAAAGUGUUGUUCUGAUUGAUUCCAAUGUGAAAACAUCCUUCACCAUCAACAAAUCCUACUAUCCAUUCUGUUUGUAAAUUCAUAAAUUCUUUUUUUUUGCAACAAAAAACCCCCAAACGUAUAGUCUCUGGGGAUUUUUUUGAGUGAUUCUCUUUCUUAUUCUAAAUUUCAAAAAUUUAGUAUAAAAUCUGGAGAUUUUGGAUUGAAAGAAUUUCCUCAAAAAUCUUUCCUGCUGAUUGUCCCCUUGCCUUGUACAUUUUUACUGAAAAGUGUUUUAGAAAACGCCUUUGAUUUUCAUAAAGAGCUUUCAAAAAUUUACUUGAUUUGUUCUUCAAUACAUGUAUUGAAGAACCACUCACUUGGUUCUUUCCAAAUUUUUCAAAUUUGGAAUGAAAAAGGAGUGAAAGUAUCUUAACGAGUAGUACACAGUUUUUGAGGAGUUUCCAGCAUAUAGUUUAGUUUUACUAAGGCUAGCGAUUCUAACUUCUUUGAAAAUUUAUCCAAUUUUCAAAGAAGUCGAGCGUAAAUGAAAUGCAUUUAACCUUAGGACCGUCAGAGUUACGGCCGCCGUUUACUGGGCCUUGAAUUCAGAGCUUGUCUCCUAAAAGAGACGUACCCUUCCUGUUAAGUUUCCAGCACCGGGCAGGUGUCAGACCCUAUACAUCGUGUUACCACUUAGCAGAGUCCUGUGUUUUUAGUAAACAGUCGCCACCCCCUAUUCUGUGCCACAUGGAAGUUUUGUUUUCAUUGUUCUUUUCUUUUCAAGUAAAAGAAAAGAACAAUGAAAAACAAACAUUUCAUGUCCUCCUUAUUCCGAAGUUACGGAGGUAAUUUGCCGAGUUCCUUCAACAUGAUUCUCUCUUAGCCUUAGUUUUUACAACAAGUCCACCAGUGUCGGUUUAAGUACGGUGUUUUUUUCUUUUCUUUUUGUUUUUCUUUAUGGUUCUUUUCUUUUCUAUUUUUUUAAAAAUAGAAAAGAAAAGAACCAUAAAGAAAAAAAUUGAAAAAAUCUAGUUUUUUCCUGGACCAUGUGACACUGUCUUCUCUUUUUAAAAAGAGAAUGCCUCUCCUAUUCCAAAUUCAAAGAAUUUAGAAUGAAAUCAGAAAGUCACGCAACAAGAUAUCCAGUAUCUUGCCCAGUGUCUUCUUGGCCGUCACUAGAUAAAACAUCAAUGAAUCUUAAUCAUUGUGCCCAUUACUCAAAAGCUAUCGCUCUAAGCUUAGGGGCCGAUUCACUCUACACCGAGAAACGGUCUGUAGAAAACCUAGGACUUUCGGCUAUCAUGAUUUUCACAUGAUUUUUCGUUACUCAUGUCAGCAUUCUCACUUCUGAUAUCUUAAUUUCAUUUUACAAUGAAACAUCAAUGAUUUACAGAACGUUCUGCUACCUUUUCAUUUUUUACCUUAAAACCCAGUUUUAAGGACAAGAACGAAAAUCGCCGCUUCGGUGAAUAUCUUGAGCUCCGAUACAUUUUAGGUGCUCCUAGACAGUGACAACUCCGUAGUGACAACUACGUGUAGUUGUCAGCAGUUGUCAACAGACCAGUGAGCUAUUACGCUUUCUUAAAAGGAUGGCUGCUUCCAAGCCUACCUCCUGGUUGUCUUCGCCUAGAAACUUCCUUUACCACUCAGAAAUUGCUUGAGAACCUUAGCGUUCGAUCAGGGUUGUUUCCCUUUUGACUAGAAACCUUAGCGCCUCUAGUCUGUCUGUAUACAUAGUAACAAGGUAUUCGGAGUUUCCAUGGGAUCAGUAAGGCUUUGGGCCACCAUCACCCAACGAGUGCUCUACCUCCUUUUUACUUUUCAUGUAUACGCUCUACCUCAAUAGAUUUCGCAGAAAACCAGCUAUUUCCAAGCUCGAUUGGCUUUUCACCCCAUAAUCACAAGUCAUCCCCAUCUAUUGCCACAGAUGUGGGUUCGGUCCUCCAAAACGUAUUAUCAUUUUUUCAACCUGCUCAUGAUUAGAUCGCUUGGUUUCGGGUCAAAUUUAAGAAACUUGUUUGAUUCCUCUAAAAAAAAAAGGAACAAUUAACUUGCUCUUUUAAAGCUUGCUUUAACUCCGCCUCCACCUAAGAGCUUAGGCUUGCUUCAUAAAUUUACUCGCUGACCCAUUAUGCAAAAGGUACGCCGUUACUUUUAUUUUAAAGCUUCGACUGCUUGUAAGCAUUCAGUUUCAGGAUCUGUUUCACUCCCUAUUUAGGGGUCUAUUUCACCUUUCCCUCACGGUACUUGUUCACUAUCGAUCAGAAGAAUGUACUUAGGCUUAGAGGGUGGUCCCCCUAAUUCAAACAAAGGAGAUCUUCGUUUUACUCGUGUUUUCAUUCUUUUUCCAAUUAACAUAGGUUUACGGGGCUAUCACCUUCUUUGGCGUGGUUUUCCAACCAACUUCAAUAUAAAAAAUUUUGAAAGAAUGAAGGCCUAAUCCGUGUUCGCUCACCACUACUAACGGAGUCUCGGUUGAUUUCUUUUCCUCUAGUUACUUAGAUGUUUCAGUUCACUAGGUCAAAUGUAAUCUUGUAGUUUCCUUAAGGGAAAUCCAUAGUUCUCGGGAUUUUCGCACCUUACUUAUGGCGUUUCGUUGCGUUUAACGUCCCUGAUCUUCUUCUGUCUAGGCAUUCACUAAAUGCUCUUAAUAGAUAA